rnacentral:rRNA from 1 species
UACGGGGGGUGCAAGCGUUAAUCGGAAUUACUGGGCGUAAAGGGUCUGUAGGUGGUAUGUUAAGUCAGAUGUGAAAGCCCAGGGCUCAACCUUGGAACUGCAUUUGAUACUGGCAAACUAGAGUACGGUAGAGGAAUGGGGAAUUUCUGGUGUAGCGGUGAAAUGCGUAGAGAUCAGAAGGAACACCAAUGGCGAAGGCAACAUUCUGGACCGAUACUGACACUGAGGGACGAAAGCGUGGGGAUCAAACAGG